CCUACGGGUGGCAGCAGUGGGGAAUAUUGGACAAUGGGGGAAACCCUUAUCCAGCGACGCCGCGUGAGGGAAGAAGGUUUUCGGAUUGUAAACCUCUGUCAGUGGGGACGAUAAUGACGGUACCCACGGAGGAAGCCACGGCUAACUACGUGCCAGCAGCCGCGGUAAUACGUAGGUGGCAAGCGUUGUCCGGAAUUACUGGGUGUAAAGGGAGCGUAGACGGUGAUGUAAGUCUGGAGUGAAAGGCGGGGGCCCAACCCCCGGACUGCUCUGGAAACUAUGUGACUGGAGUGCAGGAGAGGUGAGCGGAAUGCCUAGUGUAGCGGUGAAAUGCGUAGAUAUUAGGAGGAACACCAGUGGCGAAGGCGGCUCACUGGACUGUAACUGACGUUGAGGCUCGAAAGCGUGGGGAGCAAACAGGAUUAGAUACCCCAGUAGUC
rnacentral:rRNA from 1 species